UACGGAGGUGCAAGCAUUAAUCGGAAUUAUUGGGCGUAAAGGGCGCGUAGGCGGAUUUGUAAGUCAGAUGUGAAAGUACCGAGCUUAACUUCGUGCUGCAUUUGAAACUACAAACCUAGAGGAUAGACGGAGAAAACGGAAUUCCAAGUGUAGCGGUGAAAUGCGUGGAUAUUUGGAAAGAACACCUGUGGCGAAAGCGGUUUUCUAGUUAUUCCUGACGCUGAGGCGCGAGAGGCAAGGGGAGCAAACGAGG
rnacentral:rRNA from 1 species